GCUUGGAUAGUUUAAUAAAAAUGUUGGUUUGUGGGGCCAUAGAUAUAAUUGUUUAUUCUGAGCA
rnacentral:tRNA from 1 species